rnacentral:rRNA from 1 species
GACGAACGCUGGCGGCGUGCUUAACACAUGCAAGUCGAACGGUGAAGCGCUUUCCUUUUUGGUUGGUGUGGAUGAGUGGCGAACGGGUGAGUAACACGUGAGUAACCUGCCCCCUUCUUCUGGAUAACCGCAUGAAAGUGUGGCUAAUACGGGAUAUUCUGCGCCUGCUGCAUGGUGGGUGUGGGAAAGAUUGUGCCUUUGGGUGUUUUCGGUGGGGGAUGGGCUCGCGGCCUAUCAGCUUGUUGGUGGGGUGAUGGCCUACCAAGGCGGUGACGGGUAGCCGGCCUGAGAGGGUGGACGGUCACACUGGGACUGAGACACGGCCCAGACUCCUACGGGAGGCAGCAGUGGGGAAGAUUGCACAAUGGGCGCAAGCCUGAUGCAGCGACGCCGCGUGAGGGAGGGAGGCCUUCGGGGUGUGAACCUCUUUCGCCAGUGAAGCAGGCCUGCUCCGUGUGGGUGGGUUGACGGUAGCUGGAUAAGAAGCGCCGGCUAACUACGUG